rnacentral:lncRNA from 10 species
GAUUACCCCCACGAGGCCAGCGUCUCGCGAUCUGGUUACACAGGGCGUUUCUGCUCUGCCUUAUGUUUUUCAGAUACAAAGGGGACACCUGAGAAGACCGGAAAAUAACAGAAAGGGGCCCGGGAUGAAGACAUUCUGGGAAGGAAAUACCAAACAAGAGUUCCAUAGAGGAUUCUUCAGAAACCAUACCACGUCCCAAAGAUCAUUAACAUGGAUUCCAGGAAAUGAAAACGUGGGCAAGGACAGCCCCUUCUCCACCGCCCUGGCCUCCAGCCCCACAGGGCACCAGCCUGUGUGAGCACCCAGCAGACGCCGCUGCACUGAACCCUGAGGACUUUCUUUCCUCUUCUUCUUGGAUAUAUUAGCUCAUAAUUCCAAGUGUUGGAUAAGGUUGUGGUAAAUCUUUUAAAAAUUCUCUCAAAAAGCAAUAUAGUCAAUGGUUACGUGAUAAUGAUCAUGCAUUUACUCCCAAAAAGAAUAAGACAGCUGUUGUAUUGUUAGAGCAUGUGCCUGCAGCUGGGGACACGCUUUUCAGUGUCUGCAUCACACACACACUGAAGUGCCUCCAACAAGUAUGUGGAAGGGCCCAUCACGUGCCCUCGAUGGCCCAGGAAGGGGCCAGUGCUGAUGGAGACACAGCCCCAAGGCACUCAUGGUGAGUCUGCUGUUCUGUGACACUGGGGUGUAGGGGAGGGAAAAGCAACAUGAACCUGUAAAUGCACAACUGGCUAUCUGCUAUAAUGUGGGAAUUUUUUAAUUAUGUGCAACAAAAUUAGUAAAUGAAAUACUGUAAGUAGACAAUGUCACCUAUAUCUCUAAAAACUGACACAUUCAAAUUGGCCUGAUCACCUCUUCGAACUUCCCCCUUUGGGGUGGCCCUUAUCCCUGGACUCCAGGAGGGAGGGGUCCUGGACAGGCUGCGCCACCCCCUCACCCCUCCUCCCCACACUUACCUGAGGAACAG